rnacentral:rRNA from 1 species
AGUGAACGCUGGCGGCGUGCCUAAUACAUGCAAGUCGAACGGAGUGGCGCACGGGUGAGUAAUGUAUAGCUAAUCUGCCCUACACUAGAGGACAACAGUUGGAAACGGCUGCUAAUACUCUAUAGUGUAGGAUGAGGCUAUAUUGUAUCAGCUAGUUGGUGAGGUAAUGGCUCACCAAGGCUAUGACGCAUAACUGGUCUGAGAGGAUUAUCAGUAGCACUGGAAGUGAGACACGAUCCGGAAUCAUACGGGAGGGAGCAGUAGGGAAUAGUGCUCAUUGUGGGAAACGGUGAAGCAGCAACGCGGCGUAAAGGAUGACAAUUUUCGGAGCGUAAACUCCUUUUGUUAGGGAAGCGGUACCUAACGAAGAAGCACCGGCUAACUCCGUGCCAGCAGCCGCGGUAAUAC